GGCGGAGCGGAGAGGGCGGGGCCAAAGGGGGAGGGACCGCGCUGGUCACGUGACACCGUUUGACUGUUUACAGGAGGCGCGGCGGAGUCCUUGGCCUCAGUCAGUCAGGCGCUGGGGAGCGUUUCGGUU
rnacentral:lncRNA from 1 species